UAACAUGGUACAGGGUUUGAAUGAAGGCGAAAGAUCGUGUAAGUGGGAGAGAAUGGGGAGGGCAAGGACAGGUUCCAAAGACCUCUUACCGUUAGUGCUGGAUCAUGAGGCAUAGCCGCUGCUGGGAAUCCCUGCCCUGUGUUGCUCUUUCUCACGACACUGUCCUUUUCUUCCUUAGCAGUUGCUCACAAUCAGUACCUCUAUAUUUACCGGCAUGUUUAUUUAUUUAGUGGUCUACCUCACCAGGCUGUAGAUUUCCUGAGGUGGGCCACAUGGGCCACUCCGACUUGUUCCCUGUGGUAUUCCCAGCACAAAGCCCAGUGCCUGGUGUGUAGUAUGCAGUCAACAAAAAUCUGUUGAAUGAAUAAAUGAAUGAUUAGGUGAUUCAUAAAUAGCAAUAGAUGCCAUUACUGAAUGUCUAUUAGGUAACACAUACUGUGGUAGUAAGCGUGUAGAUGAUCAAAUUUAAUACAUUCAACAAUACCAGGUAAAUUUUAUUAUAUCAGCUUUAUAGAAGAAUGGAGGACUAGAAAAGAUCAGUAAUUUGCCCAAUGUCAUACCACAAGUACCUGGCUAAAGCCAUACCCACGUAGGUCUAACUCCAACGUCCGUGCUGUGAAUCACUGCAUAAUAGUGCCUCCCAUUUAUUGAGUGUGUACUAUGUGCCAGUCAUUUGGAACCACUUGACCUCACUUCAUUUUCUCACUUACUUCUAGCAACAAGUCUAUGAGUUAGAUGUUAUGAGCCUCAUUUAAUAGAUGAGAAAACAGAUUCCGAGAUGUUUAUUCAUUCACUCAACACAUAUUUCUUUUCUGUCUAGCAAUUGCCAGGCACUUCCUCCUGAAGAUAAAAUGGUGAGACAAGUAGACAUCAUCCCUGCCCAUGUGGAGCUUACGGUCCAGUGCGGGAGGCAGGCUGUGAUCAGAUGUGCAACGACAAGCUAAGUGAGAAGUGCUAUGAGGGGAAGUCCGAGGUGUCACAUGCAGACCCCACAGCUUCCAGUCAGAAGAGCAGACUUGUGAAGACUCCUGCAGUGGAAACGGAUUCACCUCUGGCUCCGGCUCCAGUUACUGAACUUCUCGCACAGACUGGUGCACCAGUGCCCUUGGCAUUGCCUUUGUUGAUCUGGCUGGGCCACAGCAGAGACAAGAGAAUCUGCUUAUGACAGAUUGCACCUCAGGAAAGAAGUAGCCCUAUGACGUGUGUGGGCAACACAAUUUAAGAUUCUACGGGCUUAUGCCCAACCCAUUAUUUUAAGGAUGAGAAACAGUAAAGGGAAAAGUUGGUUCAAGCAAUCCUGAGUCUGUUCAUUAACCGGGAGACAGAAAGGAAUAAAAUAAGACUUUCCUGAUUAUUUCA
rnacentral:lncRNA from 1 species